AAACAUGGAGUAAAGGACUCAACAUGUAAGUCUGGAUAACUUUUUAAAUCAUGAAAUACUUAUAGUGUCAUGCAUAUGCGUAUGAAUGUCAUGUCGUGCAUAGGUACAUGUGUUCAUAACAUCAUCAAGCCUUUGAAGGCAUCCCAUCAUAUCAUCUCGGCCACUGUGGGCAAAAUCAUUAACGUAUACCAGCUGAUCAGGUGGUGGUGCAUAUAUAACGCCGUAACCUUUUCCCAUAUCCCAUAUACAUAUAUACGCGUACAUAACGCCGUCUGAGUCAUGGUUCACUGUACAUGUAUAAAUGUAUGAAAUGCAUAAGAAAUACGUUAAUAAGAUUUUCUCGGAAUGCCAUAAAACUCAAUAUGCCUUUCGGAUAAACUUUAUCAAAUACAUAUUUUUCUGAGACCUAUGAACAGACGAUGGAAUAAUAAGACUUAUGGGAGAAUAAGAAUAUAUACAUCUCUAGCAUUUCUACGAAUAGAGUAAUUUAUGGAAGUUGUGCAUUUUCUCAUUUCGUUUGUGUCGUAUAGAUCAUGCCAAAAAGAAACAAGGGAUGACCUUAACAUACCUGAACCGAUUCUCUUGAUAGUUUUCUGGUCCUCCACCACCUACCUGUUCACUUUCAACUUUUUCAUGGAAUUGUGCCUUCUAUUCGCAUUUGCACCAGGUAUUUUUGUCCCCAACCUUAAUUCACAAGUUUUUUUAUAUCUUUGCCUCCAUGAGAUAUCUUCAAGUUUUGCCACCUCCUGAAGCUUCAUCACAGUGGCUGCCCUUUGUGCUAAGUGCUAACUACUCUUCAUUUAGCAUACCUUCUUCUUUAGCUAAAGCCUUUUGUGUAUUCAAAGCAUCUCUUUCUUCUGUAUAGGCAGCAUUAUGACUCACUAUCCAUGCUUUUAAGUUUUGCUUCAACAUGUUUAGUUUACAGAAGCAUAUAAUCGGGAUAAUCUUUAACCACAAAAGAAUUCCACCAAUAUUUCAGCCUUUUCUAGGAUGGGACAUGGAGGACUCAAAACCUACUGUUGUUGGCGAUUCAACUAGGAUAGUUUUUUCCAAAUGACAUUCUCACCUAAUCAAAAUGAGCAAAUGACCCUUUAUACACGUUCUCACCUAUUCACAAUGAGCAAAUGACCCUAAUCACCUAAUUUUGUAAAGAUUCAUGUUACUAAUGAGUAAAGCUCAUGUCUG
rnacentral:lncRNA from 1 species